rnacentral:rRNA from 1 species
UACGUAGGGUGCGAGCGUUGUCCGGAAUUAUUGGGCGUAAAGGGCUCGUAGGCGGUCUGUUGCGUCAGGAGUGAAAACUCGGGGCUUAACCCCGAGCCUGCUUCUGAUACGGGCAGACUAGAGGUAUGCAGGGGAGAACGGAAUUCCUGGUGUAGCGGUGAAAUGCGUAGAUAUCUGGAGGAACACCGGUGGCGAAGGCGGCAUUCUGGACCGAUAUUGAUGCUGAGGAGCGAAAGCCAGGGGAGCAAACGGG